rnacentral:lncRNA from 12 species
UCUGCAUCUAAACUGUCAUGUAUCACUACCAUAUUUCAGUAGGCCAGGCAGACGUGUCUGCCUGGAACACCUGACUCCAGGGCACAGGAGCAUUGUGCCAUUCCAAGAGCCAGCAGCCAUUCCCAAGAGCCUCGCUUCCCUGGCAGCCCAUAAGGCACACGCAGUUCUAGCAGGAAAAAUCUCCCUCUGAGGCUGUCUGCCACAUCCCUUCAGGCCAGACCACAGGCACAAAUUCCCACUCUGUAUGGGAAAGCUAUGGACAGACACCCCGUGGGAUGACUGUGGCUCCUGCCAUGCCACCCCUCUUCCACUUUCAUUUGGGGAGAAGUAUAAGUUCCUCAGGAAACCUUGCAACCUCCAUGACAUCAGUGUUUGAAGCACAAGAAAGGGUGAUCUUCACAACUGAAGAAAUCAUGAAGAAACAUUCAUUAACAGCAUUCUGACACAGCCAAGUAGAUUUGCUCAUGCACUGGUCUGU